rnacentral:rRNA from 1 species
UACGUAGGGUGCAAGCGUUGUCCGGAAUUAUUGGGCGUAAAGAGCUCGUAGGCGGUCUGUCGCGUCUGCUGUGAAAUCUCAGGGCUUAACCCUGAGCUUGCAGUGGGUACGGGCAGACUAGAGUGCGGUAGGGGAGACUGGAAUUCCUGGUGUAGCGGUGAAAUGCGCAGAUAUCAGGAGGAACACCGGUGGCGAAGGCGGGUCUCUGGGCCGUAACUGACGCUGAGGAGCGAAAGCAUGGGGAGCAAACAGG